UACGGGGGGUGCGAGCGUUGUCCGGAAUCACUGGGCGUAAAGGGCGCGUAGGUGGUCUUGUAAGUCUGUGGUGAAAGCCCGGGGCUCAACCCCGGGUCUGCCGCGGAUACUGCGAGACUUGAGUACUGUAGAGGCAGAUGGAAUUCCGGGUGUAGCGGUGGAAUGCGUAGAGAUCCGGAAGAACACCGGUGGCGAAGGCGGUCUGCUGGGCAGUUGCUGACACUGAGGCGCGACAGCGUGGGGAGCAAACAGG
rnacentral:rRNA from 1 species